AUUGAACGCUGGCGGCAGGCCUAACACAUGCAAGUCGAGCGGAUGAAGGGAGCUUGCUCCUGGAUUCCGCGGCGGACGGGCGAGUAAUGAAUAGGAAUCUGCCUGGUCGUGGGGGAUAACGUAAGGAAACGGGCGCUAAUACCGCAUACGUCCUGAGGUAGAACGUGGGGGAUCUUCGGACCUCACGCUAUUAGAUGAGCCUAGGUCGGAUUAGCUAGUUGGUGGGGUAAAGGCCUACCAAGGCGACGAUCCGUAACUGGUCUGAGAGGAUGAUCAGUCACACUGGAACUGAGACACGGUCCAGACUCCUACGGGAGGCAGCAGUAGGGAAUAUUGGACAAUGGGCGAAAGCCUGAUCCAGCCAUGCCGCGUGAGUGAAGAAGGUCUUCGGAUUGUAAAGCACUGUUAGUUGGGAGGAAGGGCAGUAAGUGAAUACCUUGCUGUUUUGACGUUACCAACAGAGAAAGCACCGGCUAACUUCGUG
rnacentral:rRNA from 1 species